rnacentral:rRNA from 1 species
CCUACGGGUGACUGCAGUGGGGAAUAUUGCGCAAUGGGCGCAAGCCUGACGCAGCGACGCCGCGUGAGGGAUGAAGGUCUUCGGAUUGUAAACCUCUGUCAGCCGGGAAGAACGGUCACUGUGCUAAUCCGCUGUGAAUUGACGGUACCUGCAAAGGAAGCACCGGCUAACUCCGUGCCAGCAGCCGCUGUAAUACGGAGGGUGCGAGCGUUAAUUGGAAUUACUGGGCGUAAAGCGCCCGUAGGCGGUGUGUCAAGUCAAGGGUGAAAUCCCCGCGCUCAACGCGGGAACUGCCUUUGAAACUGGGAAACUGGAGUGCGUGAGAGGAUAGUGGAAUUCCAGGUGUAGGAGGGGAAUCGGGAGAUA